GAGAAGUAUUUCAUCAUUACGAAAAAAUUUAUUAUAGGUUAUCAACAAAAUAAAAUUUAUAAAUAAUCGCUAGUUGCAAUUCCAAUAUGUUUCGAUUACCAUUUGGCGAAAGAGUUGAUCCUUUAGAGGAAAAACGUCAAGCAAGAGAAAAUACUAUUAACAGCUUUCUCACAUUUUGUGUGCUUUGUGCGGCUAUUAGAAUUGCUCCAGUGAUCAUAGAGCACAGUGGAUUUUAACUUGAAUAGAUGGAUUUUACUAGUUCUAAUAAAGUCAUGAUUUUGUUUCAUAGUUGAACCAGAUUAGUAAGAGUGCACAAAUCACAGAAUGUAAUUGAUACUUUUAUGUUUCUGUGUAACAGUAAUAAGCAUAAAAUGAUUAUAUAAAUAUAUUAUUUCAACAGUA